GAUGAACGCUGGCGGCGUGCCUAAUACAUGCAAGUCGAGCGAACAGACGAGGAGCUUGCUCCUCUGACGUUAGCGGCGGACGGGUGAGUAACACGUGGAUAACCUACCUAUAAGACUGGGAUAACUUCGGGAAACCGGAGCUAAUACCGGAUAAUAUAUUGAACCGCAUGGGUCAAUAGUGAAAGACGGUUUUGCUGUCACUUAUAGAUGGAUCCGCGCCGCAUUAGCUAGUUGGUAAGGUAACGGCUUACCAAGGCGACGAUGCGUAGCCGACCUGAGAGGGUGAUCGGCCACACUGGAACUGAGACACGGUCCAGACUCCUACGGGAGGCCGCAGUAGGGAAUCUUCCGCGAUGGGCGAAAGCCUGACGGAGCAACGCCGCGUGAGUGAUGAAGGUCUUCGGAUCGUAAAACUCUGUUAUUAGGGAAGAACAAAUGUGUAAGUAACUAUGCACGUCUUGACGGUACCUAAUCAGAAAGCCACGGCUAACUACGUG
rnacentral:rRNA from 1 species